UUCCUCUAGAGUGAUGAGUCUUUGAGGACUUAAUGACUUUGGGAGUAGCAGCAGAAACCGCCACCAUGUCUAACGCUGCACCCGCUGAAGCCGCACCUGCUGAGGCUACUUCCACUGCCGAGGGCGAAGCUCUACCGGCAGAGACUGCACCUGCCGAGGGAAAGGCCCCAGCGGAGGCCGCUCCAGCUGAAGGAGAAGCUCCGGCUGAACCCGCGCCUGAGGAGCCCAAAGCCCCCACACCCCCUCCUCCAGAUGAGCCCACCAGCGAGCCCCUGGAAGUGACAGUGGAGGACAAGAGUGACUCUUCAGUGACCAUCACCUGGAGGCCUCCAAAGACCAUUCCGGCCAACUCUGGCCUGGAUGGAUACACUGUGGAAAUCACCAAGGAGGGAACCGAAGACUGGAAAGCAGUCAAUGAGGACCUGACCGUGUCCUGUCGUUAUGCUAUCAAGAACCAGACUACCGGCGACCGUCUGCUGGUCCGGGUGGUGGCUGUGAACUCCGGUGGCCGCAGUCCCCCUGCUACCAUCGCCGAUCCCAUUCUGGUCAAGGAGGUUGGGGCUCGCCCCAAAGUCCGCCUGCCUCGUUUCCUGAGGCAGAGGUAUGUCAAGAAAGUCGGUGAGAAGAUUAACCUUGUCAUCCCCUUCUCUGGCAAGCCUAAGCCAGUGGUUACCUGGUUAAAGGAUGGAGAGCCCCUUGACCCAAAGAGGGCCAACAUCCGUACAUCUGACACAGACAGCAUCCUGUUCGUCCGUCAAGCAGAGAGAGUGGACUCUGGCUCAUACGAGAUGUGCGUGAAGGUGGAAGACUUUGAAGACAAAGCUGCUAUCAUCAUCCAGAUUAUUGAGCUGCCUGGGCCACCAGCCAGCAUUAAGGUUGCGGAUGUCUGGGGAUUCAAUGUUGCCCUUGAGUGGACCGCACCUAAAGAUAACGGAAACACAGAGAUCACAGGCUACACCGUCCAGAAGGCUGACAAGAAAACCGGGGACUGGUUCAACAUUCUGGAGCACUACACCAGACUAAAUGCCACCAUCUCAGACCUCAUCAUGGGCAACACCUACACCUUCAGGAUCUUUGCAGAGAACAAGUGUGGACUCAGUGAGGAAUGUGCCAGGACCAAGGAAGAAGCCACCAUUGUGAAGGAGGUUAUUGACUAUAAACCUACCCCGUUCGUGGAGCGUGACUUCACCGAGGCUCCCAAGUUCACCACUGUUCUGAACGACAGGUCCACCACUGUUGGCUACAGCACCAAGCUGCUGUGCUCUGUGAGGGGAUCCCCCAAGCCUAAGAUUAUGUGGAUGAAGAACAAGAUGAUCCUCAACAACAUGGAUAACCCCAAGUACAGGAUGAUCAGCACAGGGGGCAUCUGCACCCUGGAGAUCCGUAAGCCUGGCCAAUAUGACGGUGGAGAGUAUGUCUGCAGAGCUGAGAACCAACUGGGGAAGGUCGACACUGGCUGCAAGCUGGAGGUCAAAAAGCCUGUUUAUGCAGAUGCUGACAAAGACAAGGAGGCAGAGUGAAUGAACAUGCAUACAGUCCCAAGUUAGAAGCAAGCUAAAUGAGGCCUUUAUAAGAAAAGGACGGAGCUGGAUGCUGGAAAAACAUGUACAUAUAACUGGAAAGAACAUACAAUCAAAUUGUUAUUACCUACAACCGCUGUAUCCUAACCUAUCCCACCCUAUCCUAUUUUAAUGAAGAUUAAACAUGUGUCCCCUUUAUUUGUAUUUUUUUCCCUUAGUACUUACUCUCUGAAAUAGUUCAUAUCCAUGUCCACAACUCAGAUGUAAAACCUCGGAAUGUUUGUUACAAUAAAGAUUUUGAUUCAUG